UCCAUCGUGAGGUGGAAUCUGAAGGAAGCCGGAGGCAAAGCCCCGACCUGAGGACCACGAACCCAAGGUGAGGCUGCUGCAUUCGGGCGAGUCUGCUAAACAAGACAAAGCCCCAUACAGCCAAGGGAUGCAGCAGUAAAUUGGGCAGGUACAUGGGGUGAAAGCGACCGUU
rfam:Alicyclobacillus acidocaldarius LAA1 ctg17, whole genome shotgun sequence.